rnacentral:rRNA from 1 species
UACGAAGGGGGCUAGCGUUGCUCGGAAUCACUGGGCGUAAAGGGUGCGUAGGCGGGUCUUUAAGUCAGGGGUGAAAUCCUGGAGCUCAACUCCAGAACUGCCUUCGAUACUGGCGAUCUAGAGUCCGGAAGAGGUGAGUGGAACUCCUAGUGUAGAGGUGGAAUUCGUAGAUAUUAGGAAGAACACCAGUGGCGAAGGCGGCUCACUGGUCCGGUACUGACGCUGAGGUGCGAAAGCGUGGGGAGCAAACAGG